rnacentral:rRNA from 1 species
GCUUACCAUGCAAGUCGAACGAUGAACCGCUUUCGGGCGGGGAUUAGUGGCGAACGGGUGAGUAACACGUGGGCAAUCUGCCCUGCACUCUGGGACAAGCCCUGGAAACGGGGUCUAAUACCGGAUAUGACCGUCUGCCGCAUGGUGGAUGGUGUAAAGCUCCGGCGGUGCAGGAUGAGCCCGCGGCCUAUCAGCUUGUUGGUGAGGUAGUGGCUCACCAAGGCGACGACGGGUAGCCGGCCUGAGAGGGCGACCGGCCACACUGGGACUGAGACACGGCCCAGACUCCUACGGGAGGCAGCAGUGGGGAAUAUUGCACAAUGGGCGAAAGCCUGAUGCAGCGACGCCGCGUGAGGGAUGACGGCCUUCGGGUUGUAAACCUCUUUCAGCAGGGAAGAAGCGAAAGUGACGGUACCUGCAGAAGAAGCGCCGGCUAACUACGUGCCAGCAGCCGCGGUAAUACGUAGGGCGCAAGCGUUGUCCGGAAUUAUUGGGCGUAAAGAGCUCGUAGGCGGCUUGUCACGUCGGUUGUGAAAGCCCGGGGCUUAACCCCGGGUCUGCAGUCGAUACGGGCAGGCUAGAGUUCGGUAGGGGAGAUCGGAAUUCCUGGUGUAGCGGUGAAAUGCGCAGAUAUCAGGAGGAACACCGGUGGCGAAGGCGGAUCUCUGGGCCGAUACUGACGCUGAGGAGCGAAAGCGUGGGGAGCGAACAGGAUUAGAUACCCUGGUAGUCCACGCCGUAAACGGUGGGCACUAGGUGUGGGCAACAUUCCACGUUGUCCGUGCCGCAGCUAACGCAUUAAGUG